UGCAAGGCCCAUGACUGGCGUGUUUUCUCCACUCUUUCAGGACUUCUUGAUGGAGACCUUCAUCAUGUUCAAGGACCUCAUCGGGAAGAAUGUGUACCCCGUGGACUGGAUGGCCAUGAGCAUGGUUCAGAACAGGGUCUUCCUGAGAGCUAUCAACAAGUUUGCAGAAAUCAUGAACCAGAAGUUUCUGGAACACACGAACUUUGA
rnacentral:lncRNA from 1 species